rnacentral:snRNA from 1 species
GUGCUUGUUUUGGCAGCACAUACACUAAAAUUGAAACAAUAUAGAGAAGAUCAGCAUGAUCCCUGUACAUGGAUGACACACAAAUUUGUGCGGUGUUCUAUAUUUCU